rnacentral:rRNA from 1 species
CACGUAGGAGGCGAGCGUUGUCCGGAAUCAUUGGGCGUAAAGAGCGCGCAGGCGGCUUGGCAAGUCGGGUGUGAAAUCCCCGGGCUCAACCCGGGAACUGCGUCCGAUACUGGAAGGCUUGAAUCCGGGAGAGGGAUGUGGAAUUCCAGGUGUAGCGGUGAAAUGCGUAGAUAUCGGAAGGAACAUCAGUGGCGAAAGCGACUUCCUGGACCAAUACUGACGCUCAUGUGCGAAAGCGUGGGGAGCAAACAGG